AGCAGCCGCGGUAAUUCCAGCUCCAAUAGCGUAUAUUAAAGUUGUUGCAGUUAAAAAGCUCGUAGUUGAAUUUCGGGAUUAGUGCGCCGGUCGUGCCUUCGGUAUGUACUGGUGUUACUGGUUCCUACCUUCUGACGAACCGUCAUGUCAUUAAUUUGGUGUGGCGGGGAAUCAGGACUGUUACUUUGAAAAAUUAGAGUGUUUAAAGCAGGCUCGCGCUUGAAUACAUUAGCAUGGAAUAAUGAAAUAGGACGUUCGAUCCUAUUUUGUUGGUUUCUAGGAUUGACGUAAUGAUUAAUAGGGAUAGUUGGGGGCAUUAGUAUUCAAUUGUCAGAGGUGAAAUUCUUGGAUUUAUUGAAGACUAACUACUGCGAAAGCAUUUGCCAAGGAUGUUUUCAUUAAUCAAGAACGAAAGUUAGGGGAUCGAAGACGAUCAGAUACCGUCGUAGU
rnacentral:rRNA from 1 species